rnacentral:rRNA from 1 species
UACGGGGGGGGCAAGCGUUGUUCGGAAUUACUGGGCGUAAAGGGCUCGUAGGCGGCCAACUAAGUCAGACGUGAAAUCCCCAGGCUCAACCUGGGAACUGCGUCUGAUACUGGAUGGCUUGAAUCCGGGAGAGGGAUGCAGAAUUCCAGGUGUAGCGGUGAAAUGCGUAGAUAUCUGGAGGAAUACCGGUGGCGAAGGCGGCGGCCUGGGUUGACACUGACGCUGAGGCGCGAAAGCGUGGGGAGCAAACAGG